rnacentral:rRNA from 1 species
AUUGAACGCUGGCGGCAUGCCUUACACAUGCAAGUCGAACGGUAACAGGUCUUCGGAUGCUGACGAGUGGCGAACGGGUGAGUAAUACAUCGGAACGUGCCCGAUCGUGGGGGAUAACGGAGCGAAAGCUUUGCUAAUACCGCGUACGAUCUACGGAUGAAAGCAGGGGACCGCAAGGCCUUGCGCGGACGGAGCGGCCGAUGGCAGAUUAGGUAGUUGGUGGGAUAAAAGCUUACCAAGCCGACGAUCUGUAGCUGGUCUGAGAGGACGACCAGCCACACUGGGACUGAGACACGGCCCAGACUCCUACGGGAGGCAGCAGUGGGGAAUUUUGGACAAUGGACGCAAGCCUGAUCCAGCCAUGCCGCGUGCAGGAUGAAGGCCUUCGGGUUGUAAACUGCUUUUGUACGGAACGAAACGGCUCUUUCUAGUAAAGAGGGCUAAUGACGGUACCGUAAGAAUAAGCACCGGCUAACUACGUGCCAGCCGCCGCUGUAAAAC